rnacentral:lncRNA from 1 species
AUGACCAAAGUCCACUGCUUCUUUAUUACUGAUAUAGAAUAUCUUUCAGAUCUUAAGGGACUGAUUAAUUACUUGGGAGAGAAAGUUUGUGUUGAGAAGAUUUGCUUGUGUUGCAAUGAGAAGGGGAAGUUCUACUCAACAGAAGCUGUACAGGCACAUAUGACAAAAGCUGGUGUAAGCUUUUUACAGAUGGUGAUGCUGCUUUGGAAUUUGCAGACUUGUAUGAGUUUAGGAGUAGCUACCCAGAUCACAAGGAAGGGGAGGACCCUAAUGAGGCUGAGGAGUCGCCCUUAGGAAAGGACUUAGAAUAUGAUGAUGAAAGCAUGGAACUGAUUCUGCCUUCUGAUGCCAGAGUGGGUCAUCACUCCUUGAUGAGAUACUACAAACAGUGAUUUGGCUUGUCAAGAGCUGUGGUAGUUGCUAAAUAUUGUGAGGCCAUGGGCCGAGUGCUUCAGUAAUAGAGAGCCCUGGGAUAGACUGGCAACACAGGAGCAGCUGUUACAUGAAAGUGAGACAUGCAUUAUAUCCAAAGGAUGAAGUCAAAAUGGAUGCUGAAGACAGAAAUGAAGAACAAUGCCACCAAGCAGAUGCACUUUAGGGUCCAA